AAAAGUCGUAACAAGGUUUCCGUAGGUGAACCUGCGGAAGGAUCAUUAUCGUUAAACCGAGGCGCGACGGCUGUCGCUGACCUUCCCCGGUCGUGACGCCCGAGCCCUCUCACAAUCCAUCUCACCCUUUGUGCAUCACCGCGUGGGUCCCCUUUGCGGGAGGGCCCGCGUCUUUACACAAAACUCGAUACAGUGUAGAAUGUUUAUUUUCGCGCUCGCACGCGAUCAAUAAUACAACUUUCAACAACGGAUCUCUUGGCUCUCGCAUCGAUGAAGAACGCAGCGAAAUGCGAUACGUAAUGUGAAUUGCAGAAUUCAGUGAAUCAUCGAAUCUUUGAACGCACCUUGCGCCCCUUGGCAUUCCGAGGGGCACACCCGUUUGAGUGUCGUGAAAUCUUCAAAAACCCUCUCUUUUGAGGAUUUUUGGACUUGGAGGUUCAAUGCUCGCUUUCGCCUUUUAGAAAGCGAGCUCCUCUCAAAUGAAUCAGUGGGGUCUGCUUUGCCGGUCCUUGACGUGAUAAGAUCUUUCUACGUUUUGGAUUCGACAUCGUCCCGCUUCCAAUCGUCCCACCACGGACAAAGGAUGGUGCUCCGGUCGCGGCCGGACCCAGAAACCUUGACCUCAAAUCGGGUGAGACUACCCGCUGAACUUAAGCAUAUCAAUAAGCGGAGGA
rnacentral:rRNA from 1 species